CUGAUAAGUGCUAAAUAAUGCAUAAAUUAACCUUUUAUUCAUAGCACUUAUCAUUAUUUUAAUUUGCAUAUUUCGUAAAUUUAACCAUUCAAUAUGUGUUACCAUCAUGAUUGCAUUUUAAUAAUUAUCAGAGGUAAUUCGAGUUGAUUUAAUUAUUUAAUGGUUGAGUCUAAUGGAUGCAGGUCAAGUCGAAUUGAUUUAGGAUGAUCUCUGAACCCAAAUCGCAUGCACCCCGCAAAUCAAGACCCUCUGAUUCAGUCACCUAAUUUUCUUUUCACUCGUUCCAACUCUUUCUUCACAUGAUCCAAUUUUAAUCUCAAAAACAAUAAAAUCCCUUCAAUUAUUUGUUUCUCAGAUCUCAAAGCAUACCAUC
rnacentral:lncRNA from 1 species